rnacentral:rRNA from 1 species
AUUGAACGCUGGCGGCAUGCCUUACACAUGCAAGUCGAACGGCAGCACGGGUGCUUGCACCUGGUGGCGAGUGGCGAACGGGUGAGUAAUACAUCGGAACGUACCUUAUCGUGGGGGAUAACGUAGCGAAAGCUACGCUAAUACCGCAUACGAUCUAAGGAUGAAAGCGGGGGAUCGCAAGACCUCGCGCGAUUGGAGCGGCCGAUGGCAGAUUAGGUAGUUGGUGGGGUAAAGGCUCACCAAGCCGACGAUCUGUAGCUGGUCUGAGAGGACGACCAGCCACACUGGGACUGAGACACGGCCCAGACUCCUACGGGAGGCAGCAGUGGGGAAUUUUGGACAAUGGGCGCAAGCCUGAUCCAGCCAUUCCGCGUGCAGGAUGAAGGCCCUCGGGUUGUAAACUGCUUUUGUACGGAACGAAAAGGCUCUGGUUAAUACCUGGGGCUCAUGACGGUACCGUAAGAAUAAGCACCGGCUAACUACGUGCCAGCCGCCGCGGUAA